rnacentral:rRNA from 1 species
AUUGAACGCUGGCGGCAUGCUUUACACAUGCAAGUCGAACGGCAGCAUGGGAGCAAUCCUGGUGGCGAGUGGCGAACGGGUGAGUAAAGUAUCGGAACGUGCCCAGUCGUGGGGGAUAACGUAGCGAAAGUUACGCUAAUACCGCAUACGAUCUAUGGAUGAAAGCGGGGGAUCGCAAGACCUCGCGCGAUUGGAGCGGCCGAUAUCAGAUUAGGUAGUUGGUGGGGUAAAGGCUCACCAAGCCGACGAUCUGUAGCUGGUAUGAGAGGACGACCAGCAACACUGGGACUGAGACACGGCCCAGAGUCCUACGGGAGGCAGCAGUGGGGGAUGUUGGACAAUGGGCGAAAGCCUGAUCCAGCCAUGCCGCGUGCAGGAUGAAGGCCUUCGGGUUGUAAACUGCUUUUGUACGGAACGAAAAGGUUUGGCCUAAUAAGCUGAGCUCAUGACGGUACCGUAAGAAUAAGCACCGGCUAACUACGUGCCAGCCGCCGCGGUAA